CCUUGCACUUCCCGGGUGAGGCAGCGCCCCACCCUGCUUCAGCUCACCCUCUGUGGGCUGCACCCACUGUCUAACCAGUCUCAAUGAGAUAAACCAGGUACCUCAGUUGUAAAUUCAGAAAUCACCCGUCCUCUGCUUCGAUCACGCUGGGAGUUGCAGACCAGAGCUGUUCCUAUUCGGCCAUCUUGGAACCGGUCUGAGUCUGUUUUAGCCAGAUCAAGUACUUGCAGACACUUGAAGAAGCAUCUUUCUUGUGAUCUCCUGGCUGGUACCCUGAAGUCCUGUUAUGCCAAUGGACCAGCAACCCUCGCAGGACUUCAUUUGCGGGGAGUCUUCAGAAAAAACAGGUCACUUGCAGUAAUAUAUAUAGAAGGACUAAAUUGUGAUUCUGGAGACCCAGGUUUCUGUUUGCUGUUCAACCAGUGUAGUCUUUUGUGUGCUGUUAACAGUGAUUUCUGGCUCAGUGAAAUGUGAUAAUGACUUCAUAUUUGUGAAGAGCUAAGGCAUCUCUGGCACCUUGGGGUCGGGAACUGUCACAUCAUUUUUGUCA
rnacentral:antisense_RNA from 1 species